CAGCGCCCCGAGUGGCAAUCGCGAUUAUUGGGCCUAAAGCGUUCGUAGCCGGCCUCGUCAGUCCUUUGUGAAAUCGUCGCGCUUAACGUGACGGCGUGCAGGGGAUACUGCGAGGCUCGGGACCGGGAGGAGUCAGAGGUAUGCCUUGGGGACCGGUAAAAUGGGAUAAUCCAAGGUAGACCGCCGAUGGCGAAGGCAUCUGACCAGAACGGAUCCGACGGUGAGGAACGAAAGCCAGGGGAGCGAACCGGAUUAGAUACCCGAGUAGUCC
rnacentral:rRNA from 1 species